rnacentral:lncRNA from 1 species
AAAGGAUAUUCCGAUAAAAGAGGAAGACACACAAGGCACUCAAGCCCAUGACAAACUAGGGCCAAUGGGAAACAAGCCUAGUUGCCCAUGGGUCCAAUCACUCAAAGUCGAGACCGUAAGAUUCAAGAAAUUUUCAAUAUGAUAGUACAGGACUGGGUAAGCAACACAGUCACUGUGAAACACGAAGAAAGGCCUAAAGUCUAGUGCAACAGUGAAAUACAUGUGCAGUACGCAUAAACUACCU